GUGGGGUAUAAAAGGGCGUCGGUCAAAGAGAGGAAAUGAAAGAGGGAAAUAAAGGAAAAUAGGAAAACAAAGAGCAUGGGAGAGAGAGAGAGAGAGACGAUUGCGAAAGGGAGUGAUCAGAGGUUAGUGCAGGAGGCGAUUGAUCGAAAGUUCUGAAAGACGUGAGGUCGUGGUAGAUUUAGUGAGAGAGAAGAGUAUAGAAACAAGAGGUAAGAAGAAUUUGGAGUUUCAAAAUUGAUUUGUGGUAAUAUAUAUUGAAUUUAUGUAUUGUAGGUUAACCUAUGGUUACAGAUGUAGGGAAUAUGGAGUAAGAAAGUGUUUUGAGGUGGAAUUAUAUUUGGGAGUAGUAAACGGGGAAGAACGUGAUAUAUUCCUGAGUUAUAGGGGCGAGAAGGGAGUUCUCGCAGGCCGAUCUUUAGGGA
rnacentral:lncRNA from 1 species